rnacentral:rRNA from 1 species
CCUGGUUGAUCCUGCCAGUAGUCAUAUGCUUGUCUCAAAGAUUAAGCCAUGCAUGUCUAAGUUCAAACCUUUAUAUGGUAAAACCGCGAAUGGCUCAUUAAAUCAGAUAUGGUUCCUUGGAUCAUAAUAAUACUACAGGGAUAACUGUAGUAAUUCUAGAGCUAAUACGUGCCUCGAGUCUCUGAACCGCAAGGUGAAGGGUGCAUUUAUUAGAUCACAAACCAAUCGGUCUCGGCCGGUUAUUGUGAUGACUCUGGAUAACUUUGUAUGAUCGCAGCUGGCUUUAUUGUCGGCGACGGAUCCAUCAAAUGUCUGCCCUAUCAACUUUCGAUGGUAGGUGAUAUGCCUACCAUGGUUAUGACGGGUAACGGGGAAUCAGGGUUCGAUUCCGGAGAGGGAGCCUGAGAAACGGCUACCACAUCCAAGGAAGGCAGCAGGCGCGUAAAUUACCCACUCUCAGAGAGAGGAGGUAGUGACGAUAAUAUCGAUCCGGACCUCAAAUGAGGCUCUGCAAUCGAAAUGAGUACAAUUUAAAUGCCUAUA